rnacentral:tRNA from 1 species
GAGAGAUGGCUGAGUGGCCGAAGGCAGCGGUUUGCUAAACCGUCGUACCAUGUUUAUUGGUACCGGGGGUUCAAAUCCCCCUCUCUCC